AUUGAACGCUGGCGGCAGGCCUAACACAUGCAAGUCGAGCGGAUGAAGGGAGCUUGCUCCUGGAUUCAGCGGCGGACGGGUGAGUAAUGCCUAGGAAUCUGCCUGGUAGUGGGGGAUAACGUCCGGAAACGGGCGCUAAUACUGCAUACGACCUGAGGGAGAAAGUGGGGGAUCUUCGGACAUCACGCUAUCAGAUGAGACUAGGUCGGAUUAGCUAGUUGGUGGGGUAAAGGCCUACCAAGGCGACGAUCCGUAACUGGUCUGAGAGGAUGAUCAGUCACACUGGAACUGAGACACGGUCCAGACUCCUACGGGAGGCAGCAGUGGGGAAUAUUGGACAAUGGGCGAAAGCCUGAUCCAGCCAUGCCGCGUGUGUGAAGAAGGUCUUCGGAUUGCAAAGCACUUUAAGUUGGGAGGAAGGGCAGUAAGUUAAUACCUUGCUGUUUUGACGUUACCAAAAGAAUAAGCACCGGCUAACUUCGUG
rnacentral:rRNA from 1 species